AUUGAAUUCGUUCGAAAUUACGUUGUCUCUUAAUCAGCGGGUCGAAGGUUCGAGUGCUUCAUCGCCCACCA
rnacentral:tRNA from 1 species